UGUGUUGUAUAAUACAAGUGUUGAGUGGAACUUAUUUACAUUGACUAUUUAAUAAAAAUAUAAGAUUUUGUUGCCAUAGACAAUAUAUCCAUCUCUCUUUCGUUUGUUUCCUAAGAGAAUCAUUCGAAAUACAAUAAAUAAUACUAAAAACAAAUACAAUAAAUAAGGAGGCACAGAAUAUAGUAAAGAAGGCGAGGCGAUUCGAAGAGACAAUUGGCAAAAUAAAAACGUGGGGGAGAGACCCCAAAGCUUGACUGCCCCUUCCCUCGUUGGGCCACUUCAAGUUCUCUUUCCUUCUCCAAAGGCCAUUUUUUCUUUUUCCUUUUCGGCCACACACAUAACCUACAGUACUGUUUACGCCUUUAAGAGGUAGAUAACCGAGAGGAAUGUAUACGUUAGAUUAUAUUUACAGAAUUGAUUAUGGCUAAGAAAUAUCAGAAAUCUUAACUAGAGCACGUAUCUUGUAACAACAUGUCUCUAUGUGCGUGAUAGGAUAUGUAUUGUGACAAUGUUUACUAAUCUUGACCAAAAGUUGUAUUAGUAUUAUAUGCUUGUGAUAAUGUUCAUCUACCAUUUGUUUAUGUAGUCAGUUAAAACCCUCGCAAGCCACCCCAAAAUAUAUAUGUAGAUAUGAUGAUGAUCUUAUCAUCACUACAUCUAUUGAUAUGUCAGUAAAACCCAAUUCAUUCUUUGCCGCUAAGCUUACUGUCCACGUGAUUUUCAAGUGGUGCCAUUUGCUUCUUCGGGAAAUAUGCUAGUGAUAAUGUUCAUCUACCAUUUGUUUAUGUAGUCAGUUAAAACCCUCGCAAGCCACCCCAAAAUAUAUAUGAAGAUAUGAUGAUCAUCAUCAUAUCAUCACUACAUCUAUUGAUAUGUCAGUAAAACCCAAUUUUUGCCGCUAAGCUUACUGUUCACGUGAUUUUCAGGUGGUGUCAUUUGCUCCUUCGGGGAAAACAACCAACAAGCAGACUUGUAUGAUCUCAACUCUCAAGACAAGAGUUUUGGAGGGGAGCGGGGGAGGACAGGGCAAAACUUUUCACACUCGGAAAAUAACUCAACAUCAUAAUACAAAAAAAAAAUUAACGAAUAUUGCAAGUUAACUUUUACGAAUCCAAAUAAUAUUAAUCGCUGACACCAUAUUUUUCACUAUAAAUCAAGAGACUCAUUUAUAUCAACAUGUAAUAGGUAACUAUACUAAUAUAAAAAAUUACCAACUUUCCAAAAUUUGUCUAGCUAUAUCAAUAAACAUUAAUUAUUAUCAUUGAGUAGAUGAGAUCAAUUCCGACCAAGCUAUAUAAAUGACUCAUUCACCUCAUGGUGGAUAGAAUCGCAAUUAAUAUCGGGACAAAAGGGUUAAGGUCAGUUGUGGAUAACAAAAUGGCUGGUCUGAGAAAAAAAAAACGAAUAUUCGCAUUUUUCAAGAGAAUAAAAACAAAUGUUAAAAUACAGAUAAAC
rnacentral:lncRNA from 1 species